AUUGAACGCUGGCGGCAGGCCUAACACAUGCAAGUCGAGCGGUAGAGAGGUGCUUGCACCUCUUGAGAGCGGCGGACGGGUGAGUAAUGCCUAGGAAUCUGCCUGGUAGUGGGGGAUAACGCUCGGAAACGGGCGCUAAUACCGCAUACGUCCUACGGGAGAAAGCAGGGGACCUUCGGGCCUUGCGCUAUCAGGUGAGCCUAGGUCGGAUUAGCUAGUUGGUGAGGUAAUGGCUCACCAAGGCGACGAUCCGUAACUGGUCUGAGAGGAUGAUCAGUCACACGGGAACUGAGACACGGUCCAGACUCCUACGGGAGGCAGCAGUGGGGAAUAUUGGACAAUGGGCGAAAGCCUGAUCCAGCCAUGCCGCGUGUGUGAAGAAGGUCUUCGGAUUGUAAAGCACUUUAAGUUGGGAGGAAGGGUCGUUACCUAAUACGUGACGAUUUUGACGUUACCGACAGAAUAAGCACCGGCUAACUCUGUGCCAGCCGCCGCAGUAA
rnacentral:rRNA from 1 species